rnacentral:lncRNA from 1 species
UACUACUAUAUCAGUAUCCAGUCCUGGCAUGUCUUCAUAAGACCAAGCAAAAAUCUCCACAUAGUCAUGUAACAUCUGAAUCAAUCUUUCUUUGACAUUGUUUUCCAAGCCUUCUCCUAUUUUGACUUCUUUCUUGUCUACUUCAGUACCCAGAUUUAUAAUUUCAAUUGAUUCCUCAUGCGGCUGUAUAGUCUUUUCUUCUUGCAGUAACAGUCUGGCAAG